UGAUUGGUUGAGCUGAACUGAAAACAUCAUGGCCCCGCCCACUGAACUUCAGCUCAUCCAAUGACAUUAUUUCUUCCUCAUUCUACUGCAGUGGAAGAACAUUGUUCAUCUGCUGUGUGUCUGGCUUUAAGAACUCCAAAGACAUGUUGCUUUACCUCUUUUUGCUUCUAUCUCACAUUCUAGGACUAAAAGCUGCAGACACAAUCUCUCCUGAUCAAGAUGAAGUCAGUGGAAGAGAAGGACGACCUCUCAAACUCAGAUGCACAUUUCAGACAGGUUAUAAUUAUCCUUAUCUCCACUGGUACAAACAUCAUUCUGACCUUCAGGCUCCUCAGUUUAUACUCUGGAAACGACAUGGCACCAGAGAAGAACACAUUCCUGAUAAACGAUAUUCCUCAGAAACAUCGUCUACAACAACCAGCCUGACCAUCAGCGAGCUAACCCUGGCAGACACAGCUCUCUACUACUGUGCUCUAGAAACACACUAACAUUUGCAAAGCCGA